GCUCAGCUAUAAACCCAGAUAUUUAAUACACAAAAAUAUCCGCCAGAGAACUACGAGCAAAAUGCUUAAAACUCUAAGGACUUGACGGUACCUUAAACCCUCCUAGAGGAGCCUGUUCUAUAAUCGAUAAUCCACGAUCUACCUCACCAUCUCUUGCCAGUACCGCCUAUAUACCGCCGUCACCAGCCUACCCUAUGAAGGACAUAAAAGUAAGCAAAACAACAAAACAGCUAACAAGUCAGGUCAAGGUGUAGCUUACUGAGAUGGAAGAAAUGGGCUACAUUUUCUAAACUAGAAAUAUUUUACGGAAAGAACUAUGAAACAAGUCUUAAAAGUAGGAUUUAGCAGUAAAUAAGGAUCAGAAUGCCCUAUUUAAGCCGGCCCUAAGGCACGC
rnacentral:rRNA from 1 species